UAAAUUCAAUUAUGUGAUCUGCGAAGACGAGAAAGAGACUCCAUUCUUUCGUGGUUCAGUUCAACACUUAAACCAGAGGCUCUGUUGCUUGCUCAUAAUUUUUUAUUAAAUCAUAUUCUAACUCUAAUAUCUCCCUUUUAUCCUUCUUCUUCUUCUUCAAUUUAUUUCUUGGAAAAUUGAGAAAUGUCAAUGGGGAACGAGUCAAGUUGGGUUGGGAAGAAGCCUAUCAGGCGCAUUGGUGGCAUGUCAGACGCACUCUCCAUCGCCGCCGAUCUUGGUUUCUCCGUCUCCGCUUCCCAACCACCGCCUCAGGAAUCUUCUCUUCCGAGUAGCGGCGAAAAGGGCGAGGACUUGGUCAGGGUUUUGAGGGAACUAACCACUGUUCAACGCAAGAUCGCGGAUUUGCAAGUCGAACUUCAAGGACGCAAGGAUGAUAAGAAUGUUGCGCAUUUGACGCAUGUGAGUGAAAUGGAAAAGAAAAUUGAGACUUUGGGGAGGAUUACCGCCAUACUGAAAGAUGUUAUCCAGAAUAAGGAUCGCAUCAUAGCUCGCCUGCAGCAGCCUUAUUCUCUUGAUUGCAUUCCUGUAGAAGCAGAAUUUCAGAAACAAUUCUCUGAACUACUGAUGAAGGCAGCUAGUGAUUAUGGUGCCUUGACAGCAUCAGUGGCAGAUUUUCAGUGGAGUCAGAAUUUCAAGGAACCUCCUUCAGUUUGGGGGGAAAUGCUUCGACCCAUUCCAGUAGCUUUGGCAUCUUGCACUCGCUUCUUUGAAGCAAUGUCUGCCACAAGAGAGUCAUUUGCAGCCCUUCAGAAAUUGAGAGUGGGUCAAUUUGAUUCCCUUAUACCAAGUACUCCGGCGAGAGAUCCUUCCCAAAGACUGCCCGGAGUUUCUGAUUGUCUGACUCCACCUCCAAUGGAAAACUGAAGCAAACCUCGAUGAGAUAGUUGUCAGAAAUUGAAGGAAGUAAGAAUUAGUUCAACAAGCACCAUGAUUCAAACAACUAGCUUGACAGGUGAGCUGUUAAAUGAUCAAUAUGGAGUUUUUAUCAUAAAAAGGUUACCAAUAUGUUGCAACUCUUAUGGUCGUAGCCAAGAAAUUGAAAGAUGAAAUAUAUAGUAGAGGAGAAAAAGACGUCUUAAAUACAAGUGAAUGAAAAACGGUCCACAAUGGGUUUAUCAGCUAAUGUAUAGAGACUUGGGGUGAAACAAAGAGAUGAUACGCAACACUUUCCCUCAACAAAUAGUUGCCUCUAUUCUACAAACUUCUACUUGCAAUCAUGAUGAUGAAUUAAUUUGGUCAUUUUAGAUGAAAGAAGCAUAUAGUUGAGUUUGAAUAGAAAGUUGCAUUUCAGUUGCUCCAUGAACAAACAAAUAUGCUUCCAGAUUACAUGCAGAACAAGAAGAACUAGAGUGCAUUGCGCGACAUGCGUAUGUCUCAAAGUGUGUGUUCAUAUAGAAGUUGGUGGACGAAGUUUUAUUGUGAAAACAAAGCUCAACCACUGAAUACUCUCAAUUUCAUCUAUCUAGCUAGUUUAUGAUCUAGAAUUAAAAUUUGUACACUUUUGGUUUGCUGGUUGUUAUGCAUCUCUCAGCCAAUUUGGUACCUGCUAGGAUUAGGCAGAACUAUACCUCAUGAUCCCUUUCUUCACACUAAUUAAGAGAGCAAAUUAAUUGAUAAUUUCUAUAACUAAGUUGAUGUAAAGAGAAAGCUACAUUUAGUGGCUGUUAGCUGCUGGCACAUGUUGAUAUCUCCGAU